rnacentral:rRNA from 1 species
UACGUAGGGGGCAAGCCUUGUCCGGAUUUACUGGGCGUAAAGGGUCCGUAGGCGGCUUUAUAAGUCAGUGGUGAAAGCCCAUCGCUUAACGAUGGAACGGCCAUUGAUACUGUAGAGCUUGAAUUACUUGGAAGUAACUAGAAUAUGUAGUGUAGCGGUGAAAUGCUUAGAUAUUACAUGGAAUACCAAUUGCGAAGGCAGGUUACUACAAGUGGAUUGACGCUGAUGGACGAAAGCGUGGGGAGCGAACAGG